UGUCACAUCGAACAUGGUAGACCCUUUAUUGUGAGCAUAUAUUAAAAUAUAUGCUCACAACACAAAGGGUAGUAAAUCACUUUUUUCAAUACAAUCUUCUAGCUUUUGCACAUGUAUAUACAAUUACAUCAAGCCGAAUUGUAAAUCUAUAGAUACAUAUUAACAUAAAUUUAAAUUGAAAUAACGUUAACACAUAAUUAUUAUUCACAAUCUGACAGAUUUUAGCUAGUUCUUUUGAAAUAGUGUAUUUUGCUGACUUGCAGGUAGAAUGCUCUUUGAUUGUAAGGAGACCUUCUGCUCGGUUCCUGAAUGUCACAAUCUGGUGUCUGUAUAACAUGUUCGUGUGACACUGGGCACUGGGGUUCAAUUAUGGGAUGCAUACACUAAAUAAAAAUAUAAACACCCUCCCGCCAGAUGGUAAGCAAUGAGCAAUUCAUUUGAUAUUUGAUAUAUGAACUACUUAGGCUUAGUACUUUCUGAAAACCAUAUGCGAGACUUGCAAAUUCAACAAUAUUACAAGUAAAUUAUCAAAAUGCUUGACCUACUAUAUGCUGCUAGCCUUGAAAUACCUACCUGUGAGAAUCUUUGCUCGGUUUAUAUGUAUUAUGCCCCCAGUUAAUUCAGUAAUCGAAAGUUAGUAUGAUAGUUGAUCAGAUUGUUCAAAAAUGAGAGCCCUUUGAACUUUCAGGCCAAUUUUGUAAAUUAAAGGGCAUCACUGCAAGAAAAAGAGUAACGGAAACUGGAAUUUAAAGGUGCAUAUACAGCAGAAGUUUGAGACUGAUUCGUUCACUUUCAUCUUUCCCAUUGCGGACCCUACCUAUAACUCAAUAGUGCACCGCUGUUUCACACAAUGUAAAUUGCACCACUUAGUUUAUCCCGGACAAUUACUCAAUUUUAUUUAUUACAAGAUAACAUAUUCCUUAGUAUUCAUGUACCAUGACCAACAGGAAGCUCACGUAAUGCAAGUUACUUGUGGCUUCCUACUGGACAUGAUGUCAAAACAGAGGAAUGCUUCAAGGUACACCAAAAUUGAGUAAUGUGUCGCAGACUUACAACAGAACCAGAUCAAGAACAUGAUUAUGUGCACCUCAUACACAAGCAGCGCUCUAGUCCUAAGGUAAGAAAUGUUAGAGACAAAAGAAGCAUAGCAGAUUAAACUUUAAGCUCCUAGCUACGUGCUAGUAUAAAACUUGACAGUAGUUUUAACACGAGUUAUAGGAACAUUCUUGAAGUGAGAAUUUGUGUACAAACACAGGGAAAUGAUGUCUACUUCUGAACAAAAAGUAAGCCUUAACAUAUUUAAUAUUUGUAAGUUUGUGGUGUUGUCUUCUUUGUUUUAAGAGGUGGUGGUCUGGCAGCAACUUUGGCUGGUGCCAGAUGGAGAUAAUAUUCGGCCAUUAUACAUACAUUUCAGGCGGUCAACCCGGUCAACUUCAGGCGGUCAACUUCAUUCGGAAUUGCCUGCAUGACUGUGCCAUUUGGAAGAAUGGAAAGUGCUUGUUACUUCUCUCUGGAAGAAGGCUUUGGAAUUGCUCUAUGUGUGUGAUUAUGGCCGGCCUGUGGCGAGGAUUUCUUUAGUCUACCCUGGGUGCAAUUCUUUUGUGGCUAACCUCCUUGGCGGGUACAAAUCCAAAGGAAACAAACGAAACAGUCACUCUGUAUGGUUUCCCACUCUGUAUGGUUUCCCCAAGUAGCUAUCACGGGUUGUAUUAAGCACUAUCUGCCUUCUUAGAGAAGUGGAUAAUGUUGUGACAGGGAUGCCAGUAUGUAGGUUAGAUGAAUCACUAUCUGUAUAUAUUAUGUACGUAUAUUAUGUACGUUAAUACCAAAUUACUCCUGCAGGUCUGUCUGGCUAUUGAUAGCUAAAGUCUUUUCUUCAGCUUUUCAGGUCUGUCUGGCUAUUGAUAGCUGAAGUCUUUUCAAGGGGCCUCACGUCACCUUCAUUUACAAUGUUUGUACUAGCAUGUUUUGUAGCUACUACCUAAUAAUUAACUUGUGUUUUGUACAAUAUUGACAUCAUUUUUAA